GAAUAUUGGACAAUGGGCGCAAGCCUGAUCCAGCAAUGCCGCGUGAGUGAUGAAGGCCUUAGGGUUGUAAAGCUCUUUCGCCCGCGACGAUAAUGACGGUAGCGGGAGAAGAAGCCCCGGCUAACUCCAUGCCAGCAGCCGCGGUAAUACGGAGGGGGCUAGCGUGGUUCGGAAUUACUGGGCGUAAAGCGCGCGUAGGCGGAUGUUCAAGUCGGGGGCGAAAUCCCGGGGCUCAACCCCGGAACUGCCUCCGAUACUGGACGUCUGGAGGACGGGAGAGGCGAGUGGAAUGCCGAGUGUAGAGGUGAAAUUCGUAGAUAUUCGGCGGAACACCCGUGGCGAAGGCGGCUCGCUGGUCCGUUUCUGACGCUGAGGCGCGAAAGCGUGGGGAGCAAACAGGA
rnacentral:rRNA from 1 species